UGGUGCUACCUGCACAGAUUCCUGCGCUCCUGUUACUUUUUCCGUAUCGCGUACGGGGUCAAAACCGAUUUCACUUUUUUUGUUUUUUUUUUCUGUUUUCUUCUAUGGGAUGCGUCGGUGAAUGAGGGACGUCGUUGCGGGAUGAAGUGUUUCUUCGCCAUUGUGUUUCGCUUACGCUUCAAGCGCCUUCUGUGCUACGGGGAACGUAGAAGCAAACGUAAGUAAGCACACUCCCCAAAAAAAAAGACACGCACACACGCACACGUGCCAAUCGUCGUUAUGCGACCAUCUAUCUCUCUCAUUCUAGUACACAACACGGAC